rnacentral:rRNA from 1 species
UUAUAGACUACCACGUAUAAUCGGCCAAUAAAGCACUGACCGCUAAUAAACCAAAAACUUUGACGNUACUUGAUAUUAUCAGGGAAACCUGUCUCUUAAUACGAUAAUCCACGAAUAUCUCACCAUAUAUAAAUCCCUAGCUUAUAUAUCGCCGCCAAGUUUAGCUCUAAAGCCCAAACAAUAUAUUUAAUAAUCAAUUAAACAUCAGGUCAAAAUGUAGCUAACAAUAUGGAGUAAAUGGGUUACAUUUCCGAUACACACACACUGAAUAAAUAAUAUUUAUAGAACUUGCCAGUAAUAAUACUUAAUAAUAGUAAUAUAAACAACUCAUCAAGCACGUACAUAUCGCCCGUCACUCUUACUGAAAAGUA